GUAAAUUUUCGUUUUGUUUAGAUUCUGUACUCUGUAGUGAUUGAUUCGUCUUCAGUUUCUGAGAAAAUGAUGGAACGUGAAAGGUAUUCUGCAAUGGAAGCUUAGGAUUUUAACUUGGUGAUGUUAAGUGAAGUAGCAAAUUUUUAGUUAUUUUCAUUGUCAAAUCUCAACAUUACAUCAAAAAAAAAAAAAUCUGCUUCUGUUGAGGUUUUGGUGUGGAUUUUGGAUUGUUGGACUUGGUUGAACAAUGAACAUGAAGCACUUAUACUAUAUGAACAUGAAGCACUUAUACUAUCCUCAAAUUGUUCUUAUUUUAUGAAAUCAUUGGAGAUGCAGAUUUC
rnacentral:lncRNA from 1 species